AGAGUUUGAUCAUGGCUCAGAACGAACGCUGGCGGCAGGCUUAACACAUGCAAGUCGAACGGUUGUAGCAAUACAGCAGUGGCAGACGGGUGAGUAACACGUGGGAACCUUCCUAGGGGUACGGAACAACUCAGGGAAACUUGAGCUAAUACCGUAUACGUCCGUGAGGAGAAAGUUUUAACGCCCCUAGACGGGCCCGCGUAGGAUUAGGUAGUUGGUGAGGUAACGGCUCACCAAGCCUACGAUCCUUAGCUGAUCUGAGAGGAUGAUCAGCCACACUGAGACUGAGACACGGCCCAGACUCCUACGGGAGGCAGCAGUGGGGAAUCUUGGACAAUGGGCGCAAGCCUGAUCCAGCCAUGCCGCGUGAGUGAAGAAGGCCUUCGGGUUGUAAAGCUCUUUUACCAGGGACGAUAAUGACGGUACCUGGAGAAUAGCC
rnacentral:rRNA from 1 species